CCUGUUCAUCCUGAAUUGGGUCGACGCCCAUGCCAACCUGCCCGCCCCGGCAAGGUGGAUCGCGCAAGCGGAUGCGGCUCGGCAGAGCAACCAAAGGGUAACGC
rnacentral:ncRNA from 1 species